ACGCCGACACCUACGGGAGGCAGCAGUCGGGAAUAUUGCGCAAUGGAGGAAACUCUGACGCAGUGACGCCGCGUAUAGGAAGAAGGUUUUCGGAUUGUAAACUAUUGUCGUUAGGGAAGAGAAAGGACAGUACCUAAGGAGGAAGCUCCGGCUAACUACGUGUCAGCAGCCGCGGUAAUCUGAGCGGGCUGGCAAGGC
rnacentral:rRNA from 1 species